CAUCUUCUUGUUUUUAAAAGACCUAGCAAUAGGUAUGCUUAGGGAGGAGCUUGCGUCACAUUAGUUAGUUGGUGGGGUAAAGGCCUACCAAGACUAUGAUGUGUAGCCGGGCUGAGAGGUUGAACGGCCACAUUGGGACUGAGACACGGCCCAAACUCCUACGGGAGGCAGCAGUAGGGAAUUUUCGGCAAUGGAGGAAACUCUGACCGAGCAACGCCGCGUGAACGAUGAAGUAUUUCGGUACGUAAAGUUCUUUUAUUAGGGAAGAAUAAAUGAUGGAAAAAUCAUUCUGACGGUACCUAAUGAAUAAGCCCCGGCUAACUAUGUGCCAGCAGCCGCGGUAAUACAUAGGGGGCAAGCGUUAUCCGGAAUUAUUGGGCGUAAAGGGUGCGUAGGCGGUUAAAUAAGUUUAUGGUCUAAGUGCAAUGCUCAACAUUGUGAUGCUAUAAAAACUGUUUAUCUAGAGUAAGAUAGAGGCAAGUGGAAUUCCAUGUGUAGUGGUAAAAUGCGUAAAUAUAUGGAGGAACACCAGUAGCGAAGGCGGCUUGCUGGGUCUUUACUGACGCUGAGGCACGAAAGCGUGGGGAGCAAACAGGAUUAGAUACCCUGGUAGUCCACGCUGUAAACGAUGAGUACUAAACGUUGGGUAAAACCAGUGUUGAAGUUAACACAUUAAGUACUCCGCCUGAGUAGUACGUACGCAAGUAUGAAACUUAAAGGAAUUGACGGGACUCCGCACAAGCGGUGGAUCAUGUUGUUUAAUUCGAAGGUACCCGAAAAACCUCACCAGGUCUUGACAUGCUUCUGCAAAGCUGUAGAAACACAGUGGAGGUUAUCAGUUGCACAGGUGGUGCAUGGUUGUCGUCAGCUCGUGUCGUGAGAUGUUGGGUUAAGUCCCGCAACGAGCGCAACCCUUAUUGUUAGUUACCAGCACGUAAUGGUGGGGACUUUAGCAAGACUGCCAGUGAUAAAUUGGAGGAAGGUGGGGACGACGUCAAAUCAUCAUGCCCCUUAUGACCUGGGCUACAAACGUGAUACAAUGGCUGUUACAAAGGGUAGCUGAAGCGCAAGUUUUUGGCGAAUCUCAAAAAAACAGUCUCAGUUCGGAUUGAAGUCUGCAACUCGACUUCAUGAAGUUGGAAUCGCUAGUAAUCGCGAAUCAGCAUGUCGCGGUGAAUACGUUCACGGGGUUUGUACAC
rnacentral:rRNA from 1 species